UAACACAAAAGCUAAAGGGAGGAAACGCACAGCACAUAUACUAGAUUGAAGCAGAAGCUAAGGAAAAAUAUCUUUCUACCAAAGAAGGAAACAUUAGAAUUAGUUAAUUUGAAAUUGAAACCCCAAUAUCGUGAUUGUUGAUUCAAGGGAUUUCCUGUACAUCCUUGGAUUUCUUUCUCUGGAGAAGAACAAGGUAAAAAUCGAAUUUUCUCUAUACCAAGCCUAUGAACAAUUAUUGUUUCUUUAACUAAGGGUAAAGACAAGAAAAGGGAACUUAAUUUAAUCUGUAUAGCUAUUAAGAAUACUUGUUAGAUGAAUAAAUAUUUCAUAAUUAUAACAAACAUUGUAGUGUAAGGAUAUUAAGUAUUUGUUAAACAUUAUGUGAUAAAAAAAAAGAUUCAAAUAAAAAUAUAAGAACAAACUGAGAACUAUAGUUUCUAUCCAAUUAAGAGCUAGUAAAUUACUUAGCGAAUAAAAAUAUAAGAACAAACGGAGAACUAUAGUUUCUAUCCAAUUAAGCGCUAGUAAAUUACUUAGCGGAGAAUCAAUGGUCCAAUUUCAAAGGUAUGAGAACAGAAAAUUAAUUAAAGGUGGCAGGGAUGAACCAAUUAUGUUGGUAAUUCACGAAAUUAAUACAUAGAUUGAAUUUUUUACAAAUCGGUAGUUGAAGAAAUUGAACAAAGUGCUCAUGGUGACACAUUUGGUAUUCCUGCACUAGUACUGUGAGUAGUAAUCUUACCGCAAUUUAUGUUUUUCAUAACUUGCAUGAUUUACACAUAAUUAUUUUUAUGUGAAUAUGUUAUAGAUUAAUUUGAGUUGCAUUUGGGACAAGUCUUUAACUCGAUAUGAUACCGAAAUAGUUAUUUGAGAUGAUUACCAUUAUUUUAAAUAUUCUUGUUGUCACUAGAUAUGUUCUAUCAUUACUUGAAAUAUUUGUUAGUGAAAUGAAAUUGCAUGAUUUGAUAAGAACCAAAAUGUCCUAUAUGUUUUAAAAUAUUUUCUUAUAAAUAUAUACGGAUACAGAGACAAGUAUAAAUGGGACUAGACUUUGAAGGAUCCUGUAGCUAACGGCGGGUUUGUUAGACAUGGUGCACCUUGUAAUUAUCGAUUACCGUAAUAGCCCUCGCUAGUGGGAAGGUAGAACUAGCAUACUGUUACCGAUUUCCCUUGAGUAGGGACUACCGUUAUAUUUGACUUCUUGCGAAGAAGUCCACAAUUAUACGGAUUAUAUAAUCCGUAUUUAAACCUCCCAAAAUAUGAAUAUUGAUAUUAUACAAUUAUUUUAUUUGACUUCUUGCGAAGAAGUCCACAGUUAUACCGAUUACAUGAUCCAUAUUGAACCUCCCAAAAAUACGAAUACUGAUAUUAUACAGUGGUUACCGAGCUUAUUACUGAAUUGUUAAUUAUAUUUUACUACAAGAAAAGCGUAAUGAGACUGAAAAAAAUUAUUUAUUAUUUCUGAAAGGGCAUGUUUAUAUUAUAUUCUCUUUGAGAUACUAGCAUGUUUCUGACUUGUCCCCAAAUAAAAACAGUUGUGGUUAAGUAUUAUUACUCACUGAGCUAGUGACUCAUUCCCCUCUAUUUUUUUCAGAGACAACAGUUGACACAGGCGAGCAAUUUGUUAAUUAGAGCGCACAGGUUGAAAAUUCUUGUGAGCCUCGCACUUGUUCGCAUGGACAGAGAUUUUAUCAAUUGUUAUGGUCUUUCUUUGAAUUCUUAGAGUUGCUCCAUAGUCAUUAUUUUAGUGUCGUGAGUAUUAUUUUGCUAUUAGUCUUAUGUUGAGUAUCGUUCUGUAGUAUUAA
rnacentral:lncRNA from 1 species